AACCUGCCUAUAAGACUGGGAUAACUUCGGGAAACCGGAGCUAAUACCGGAUACGUUCUUUUCUCGCAUGAGAGAAGAUGGAAAGACGGUUUACGCUGUCACUUAUAGAUGGGCCCGCGGCGCAUUAGCUAGUUGGUGAGGUAAUGGCUCACCAAGGCGACGAUGCGUAGCCGACCUGAGAGGGUGAUCGGCCACACUGGGACUGAGACACGGCCCAGACUCCUACGGGAGGCAGCAGUAGGGAAUCUUCCGCAAUGGACGAAAGUCUGACGGAGCAACGCCGCGUGAACGAAGAAGGCCUUCGGGUCGUAAAGUUCUGUUGUUAGGGAAGAACAAGUACCAGAGUAACUGCUGGUACCUUGACGGUACCUAACCAGAAAGCCACGGCUAACUACGUGCCAGCAGCCGCGGUAAUACGUAGGUGGCAAGCGUUGUCCGGAAUUAUUGGGCGUAAAGCGCGCGCAGGUGGUUCCUUAAGUCUGAUGUGAAAGCCCACGGCUCAACCGUGGAGGGUCAUUGGAAACUGGGGAACUUGAGUGCAGAAGAGGAAAGUGGAAUUCCAAGU
rnacentral:rRNA from 2 species